UACGUAGGGGGCAAGCGUUGUCCGGAUUUACUGGGCGUAAAGAGCGUGUAGGCGGCCACGCAGGUCCGUUGUGAAAACUGGAGGCUCAACCUUCAGACGUCGACCCAAACCCCCUGGCUAGAGUCCGGAAGAGGAGAGUGGAAUUCCUGGUGUAGCGGUGAAAUGCGUAGAUAUCAGGAGGAACACCGGUGGUGUAGACGGCUUUCUGGACCGUAACUGACGCUGAGACACGAAAGCGUGGGUAGCAAACAGG
rnacentral:rRNA from 1 species